ACACCGUUGGUGGAGUGGUUAUCAUGCUUGCCUUCCAUAAACCUUCAAAAAGAUAGAGCAAGCGGCUCGGGUUCGAUUCCCGAACGGUGUA